AUGGAUGUCUCUUCAGACACCCUCAGCCCUGCUGGGAGGAAGCUGCAAGAUCUUUCUACACACGCAUCUGGUGAUGUCACUUCCCAACUCUCCUCUCCUCAUCACUUCCCUCCCGGCUGUGAAACUGAACGCAAAACUCAGAGCUUCAGGUGGAGCUCUCAAGAUCUGACUGCAGCCUCUCUCCGCAGGAUUAAAGGACGAAUGGUAUCAUGGCCACGAAGCAUCUUGGUGUACAUCACAGCCUCCCACACCCUCGGCGGGGAGGCCGGCUGCCUACUCCCUUUCAGCUUCUGUGCACUAUCCCCAACCUCCCGGAGCUUCAGCCUACUGAACACGCUGUGUCUAAGCAGGAUUCGGGAGAACAGAUUGUUUGAGGUUUGGAUUCAGCAUCAGACAAAAUGAGAUUUGGAACCUCGUGCUGCUGCUGCCUUACCUUCUUUCAACUCCAUCACCAGUAAAAAUAUUCUAAUCAAAAUGUUUCACUUCCUUUCUGCCCGCUACCCUCCUUGCUGCCAAAAACUUUGGGAUGCUUAAGCAUUUCUGUUCUUGUCAAUGGCACAUGGCUACGACAGUGCUUUCCUCUCCCUGUAGGCUAUAAAAAUAGAUUGGAGUAAAGGAGAAAACGAAACAAAAUCUGAGAAGUAUUUCCGUCUGUCCUGUAUUGUUCCUCAUUAAAAAAAAAAAAAAAAUGUGACUAUUUUCUCUUAUUGGUACUG
rnacentral:lncRNA from 1 species